rnacentral:ncRNA from 1 species
AAUGAGGUAGCCGAAAAGCAUAUAUAGAGUAGGCA